CGUAUAGCUGUGGAGUACUUGCUGGCGCAGUCUGACAGAGGAGACCUGCUUUCUCCACUGGAGCAUGUUGAAAUCACUCCGCCAGAGACACAGGUUGAAGUUCAGCAGGAUGAGUGUCUGGAUGUUACAAUAUGUGAUGCAGCAGACAUCAAUUUAGAUGCACACACCCGUGGCAGUUCCAGCAGUCAUGAUGAUUCAUUGAUCUCCUCUCUGGAAACCAGUCUUCCAAGUGGUGGCUCUUACAGUCCUGACAUUGAAGACAUUUCCUGCGCUGGGCCCAGCACAUCAGCUCCGGACAGUAGAUGUGAUUCAAGGGGUGUUCCUGGAUGGGAGGCAGUGGAUAACCUGGCAGGGUACCUCGUCAGCCUCAACCGCACUAUCACUGCUUU